rnacentral:rRNA from 1 species
GACGAACGCUGGCUGCGUGCUUAACACAUGCAAGUCGAACGCUGAAGCCCGACGCUUGCUUCGGGUGGAUGAGUGGCGAACGGGUGAGUAACACGUGAGUAACCUGCCCCUGAUUUCGGGAUAAGCCUGGGAAACUGGGUCUAAUACCGGAUACGACCACCUGACGCAUGUCGGGUUGUGGAAAGUUUUUCGAUCGGGGGUGGGCUCGCGGCCUAUCAGCUUGUUGGUGGGGUAAUGGCCUAGCACGGCGACGACGGGUAGCGGGCCCGAGAGGGCUACCGGCCAAACUGGGACUGGGACACGGCCCAGACUCCUACGGGAGGCAGCAGUGGGGAAUAUUGCACAAUGGGGGAAACCCUGAUGCAGCGACGCAGCGUGCGGGAUGACGGCCUUCGGGUUGUAAACCGCUUUCAGCAGGGAAGAAGCGAAAGUGACGGUACCUGCAGAAGAAGUACCGGCUAACUACGUGCCAGCAGCCGCCGUAA